rnacentral:misc_RNA from 1 species
UUUCCGUAGGUGAACCUGCGGAAGGAUCAUUAUCGCAUAAUCGCGGUGCGAGGGCUGUCGCUGAUACGACUGUUUGUGCACGCCCGAGUGCCCUCACACACAUUCAUCACACCCCUAUGCGCACCACCGCGUGGGCCCCCCUAUGGCUCGUCUGGAGGGGGGCUUACGUUUUCACACUAACUAUGUAUGCAGUGUAGUCUGUAUUUUUUGAUUUUGGGAUCACGACGUCAAUACAACCUUCAACAACGGAUCCCUUGGUCCUCGAAUCGAAGAAGAACG